GCAAAAGCCCUGCGCAGCAGCAGGGUGUGAACCCCGUCAGGUCCGGAAGGAAGCAGCGGUAAAUACUUUUUGCUUCGUGCCGCAGCAAGUUUUUGCCCG
rnacentral:SRP_RNA from 1 species